AAUCUGUCUUUUAAUCGAUUUUCCACGAUAAUUUUUACUUUUAUUCAAAUCUUAUAUACCUCCAUCUUAAGGAUUAAUAUUUAUAUUCUCCCCUUAAAUGGAUUUCUAAUAAGUUAGGUAAAGGUGUAGACAAUAUAAAAGAUAAGAUGGAUUACAAUAAAUCUUAUUUAAGGAUAUUAAAUAAAAAUUUAUUAUGAAAAAGGAUUUAUUAGUAAUUUAAGAAUAAUAUUCUUAAUUGAACUAGAUAAACAAUGUGC
rnacentral:rRNA from 1 species